rnacentral:rRNA from 1 species
GACGAACGCUGGCGGCGUGCUUAACACAUGCAAGUCGAACGAAGUGGCGAACGGGUGAGUAACGUGUAAUCACCUUGCCCUUCAGAGGGGGACAACAGUUGGAAACGACUGCUAAUCCCGCAUACUGAAGGAGGGGCUUGCGUCGGAUUAGCUCGUUGGAGGGGUAACGGCCCACCAAGGCGAUGAUCAGUCGCCGGUCUGGGAGGGUGAUCGGCCAAAUUGGGACUGAGACACGGCCCAGACUCCUAAGGGAGGCAGCAGUGGGGAAACUUCCGCAAUGGACGGAAGUCUGACGGAGCAACGCCGCGGGAGUGAAGACGGGCUUCGGGUUGUAAAGCUCUGUUAAGCGGGACGCGGUACCUGAAUAGAAAGCCACGGCUAACUACGUGCCAGCAGCCGCGGUAAUAC